AGCACCUUUCUUUCAAAGCAACAUCUUUGUCACAGUUGGCUUCUGGAGGAGCAAUUGAUCACAGGGAUGUUGGGAGCCUGCAAGAAAACUAUGCUGUGGUUGGAUAUAACAAAGACUACCAGUCCAUGCCCAAGAGCUCCUGUUAGCCAGUCACAUUUUUUUUCCUGCAAGGAAGACUGGUUUAAGAGAGAUUCACCUCUCCCUUCCCACCCAGGACUGAACAGAGAGACAGGAAGGAAGGAAAAAGAGAUGUAACUAUGAAGAGGCAUAUGCUGUUGAGAGUCUCAAACUGUGACCUACCUUUGCCUCAUUCAGGCAAAUCUUUGAAACUUGGUUUCCUCAUGGUAAAUUGGAGAUAAUCCUGCCUACAUGAUUAAAUGAAUAACAUAUGAAAUAUGUGUUUCACAAGACCUCUAAAACAGGUUGAUUUUCUAUGUCUUAAAAGUAAGCCGAUAAGUAUAUGCAGUUGCUGGUAAGAGCAUUCUAGGCAGUGAGAAAUGGGUCAACAAAAUUAUAGAGGGAAAACAAGGUGUGCUCAGUGACCCCCAAAGUGGAACUAAAAUUUCGUGAAAGAAAAUAUUAAGAAAGAAGCAUAGAAUGGUAGGUAGAGCCAGGUCUCAGAAGGCUGUCGAUAUCAGGCUGUAGAGCUGAGCUUUAUGCUUGUUCUGUAAAGUAGGAUUAAGUAACAAAACCUCUGAUGUCACAGUAGGAAGUUUGCAGGGUCUCCACGAGUUCACUUUUUGCAAACACUCUUGUACAAAUUAGAAAAAAUUCACACCUUCCACACUUCUUCCAUUAGGCAGAA
rnacentral:lncRNA from 10 species